UCAUCACCAAGCGCCUGCUGUGUACUGUCUAUGUGUGUGUACCCUAUAUGUCAAUGUGUUUACCGCAUCUGCUUUGCUCUAAAGGCUUAAAAAGUAGAAACAGACCCAUACUCAAAGCCUGUUGUUCACAGACUUCGGCAAACCGUGUGUCACUUGUUUAUUGUCUGGUAGGCUAACUGGUAUAUUUGUAAGGGUAGCAGUGGACUUUGUCUGGCUAUCUCCACCUUCUGCCACAGUGUGUUAUGUGUUGCAUUUAGCUUGAGGCUAACUUGGCCAGAGGAGAAGAUCUUAGCAGCUUGCUCAGAGAAUGGACAGUGAAAUCCAACGAGAUGGGAGAGUCCUGGACCUCACUGAUGACGCCUGGAGGGAAGACAGACUGCCGUAUGAAGACGUCACCAUCCCUCUGGCUCCCCAGAGUCUGUGAAAGAACAAGAGAUGAAGUGGAUAGACCUCGCCCUGCAGAGCCUGCAUGAAAACACACCGAGCACCGGCAGCUGAAAGACUAAUCUGGAAUCGGACUGUAAGACAACAUGCAUGAGGACACCGGAUUCAGACACAUUGUAUUGUGUCUUUUGAAGGAUUUGCAGGAUGUUCCACUUUCAGCUAAGCAGAAAUUGUGCAUACAUGUAUUUCACAUUGGUAUUGGGUUUAUAUUGUAGUCUGUAUGAAUAUUAAAUAACAACUUUGUAAUAACAAUCAAUGGAAAAGAGUCA